rnacentral:rRNA from 1 species
CAGUAGCCGCGGUAAAACGUAGGGCGCAAGCGUUAUCCGGAAUUAUUGGGCGUAAAGAGCUCGUAGGCGGUUUGUCGCGUCUGCCGUGAAAGUCCGGGGCUCAACUCCGGAUCUGCGGUGGGUACGGGCAGACUAGAGUGAUGUGGGGGAGACUGGAAUUCCUGAUGUAGCGGUGAAAUGCGCAGAUAUCAGGAGGAACACCGAUGGCGAAGGCAGGUCUCUGGGCAUUAACUGACGCUGAGGAGCGAAAGCAUGGGGAGCGAACAGGAUUAGAUACCCCUGUAGUCCCUGUCUCUUAUAA